UCUCUGAUAGUAUAUCGGUUAGUACACGCGCCUGUCAACAACCGGGGUGUGCGCGCGAAAGCUGGGUUCGACUCCCAGUCAGAGAG